rnacentral:rRNA from 1 species
AUUGAACGCUGGCGGCAGGCCUAACACAUGCAAGUCGAGCGGAUGAAGGGAGCUUGCUCCUGGAUUCAGCGGCGGACGGGUGAGUAAUGCCUAGGAAUCUGCCUGGUAGUGGGGGAUAACGUCCGGAAACGGGCGCUAAUACCGCAUACGUCCUGAGGGAGAAAGUGGGGGAUCUUCGGACCUCACGCUAUCAGAUGAGCCUAGGUCGGAUUAGCUAGUUGGUGGGGUAAAGGCCUACCAAGGCGACGAUCCGUAACUGGUCUGAGAGGAUGAUCAGUCACACUGGACCUGGGACACGGUCCAGAUCCCUACGGGAGGCAGCAGUGGGGAAUAUUGGACAAUGGGCGAAAGCCUGAUCCAGCCAUGCCGCGUGUGUGAAGAAGGUCUUCGGAUUGUAAAGCACUUUAAGUUGGGAGGAAGGGCAGUAAGUUAAUACCUUGCUGUUUUGACGUAACCAACAGAAUAAGCACCGGCUAACUUCGU